UACGUAGGGUGCAAGCGUUAAUCGGAAUUACUGGGCGUAAAGCGUGCGCAGGCUGUUCUGUAAGUCAGAUGUGAAAUCCCCGAGCUCAACUUGGGAACUGCGUUUGAAACUACAGGACUAGAAUAUGUCAGAGGGGGGUAGAAUUCCACGUGUAGCUGUGAAAUGCGUAGAGAUGUGGAGGAAUACCAAUGGCGAAGGCAGCCCCCUGGGAUAAUAUUGACGCUCAUGCACGAAAGCGUGGGGAGCAAACGGG
rnacentral:rRNA from 1 species